rnacentral:rRNA from 1 species
UACGUAGGGUGCAAGCGUUAAUCGGAAUUACUGGGCGUAAAGCGUGCGCAGGCGGUUGUGCAAGACCGAUGUGAAAUCCCCGGGCUUAACCUGGGAAUGGCAUUGGUGACUGCACGGCUAGAGUGUGUCAGAGGGGGGUAGAAUUCCACGUGUAGCAGUGAAAUGCGUAGAGAUGUGGAGGAAUACCGGUGGCGAAGGCGGCCCCCUGGACAAAGACUGACGCUCAGGUGCGAAAGCGUGGGGAGCAAACAGG